rnacentral:rRNA from 1 species
AUACGGAGGGUGCAAGCGUUAUCCGGGAUUAUUGGGUUUAAAGGGUCCGUAGGCGGCUAGAUAAGUCAGUGGUGAAAUUCUCUCGCUCAACGAGAGACCUGCCAUUGAUACUGUCUUGGCUAGAGUUACAGUGAGGUGAGUGGAAUGUGUAGUGUAGCGGUGAAAUGCAUAGAUAUUACACAGAACACCGAUUGCGAAGGCAGCUCACUAACUGUAUACUGACGCUGAUGGACGAAAGCGUGGGGAGCAAACAGGAUUAGAAACCCUUGUAGUCC